rnacentral:rRNA from 2 species
GGUUAAGCGACUAAGCGUACACGGUGGAUGCCCUGGCAGUCAGAGGCGAUGAAGGACGUGCUAAUCUGCGAUAAGCGUCGGUGAGGUGAUAUGAACCGUUAUAACCGGCGAUUUCCGAAUGGGGAAACCCAGUGUGUUUCGACACACUAUCAUUAACUGAAUCCAUAGGUUAAUGAGGCGAACCGGGGGAACUGAAACAUCUAAGUACCCCGAGGAAAAGAAAUCAACCGAGAUUCCCCCAGUAGCGGCGAGCGAACGGGGAGGAGCCCAGAGCCUGAAUCAGUGUGUGUGUUAGUGGAAGCGUCUGGAAAGGCGUGCGAUACAGGGUGACAGCCCCGUACACAAAAAUGCACAUAUUGUGAGCUCGAUGAGUAGGGCGGGACACGUGGUAUCCUGUCUGAAUAUGGGGGGACCAUCCUCCAAGGCUAAAUACUCCUGACUGACCGAUAGUGAACCAGUACCGUGAGGGAAAGGCGAAAAGAACCCCGGCGAGGGGAGUGAAAAAGAACCUGAAACCGUGUACGUACAAGCAGUGGGAGCCUCUUAAUGGGGUGACUGCGUACCUUUUGUAUAAUGGGUCAGCGACUUAUAUUCUGUAGCAAGGUUAACCGAAUAGGGGAGCCGAAGGGAAACCGAGUCUUAACUGGGCGUUAAGUUGCAGGGUAUAGACCCGAAACCCGGUGAUCUAGCCAUGGGCAGGUUGAAGGUUGGGUAACACUAACUGGAGGACCGAACCGACUAAUGUUGAAAAAUUAGCGGAUGACUUGUGGCUGGGGGUGAAAGGCCAAUCAAACCGGGAGAUAGCUGGUUCUCCCCGAAAGCUAUUUAGGUAGCGCCUCGUGAAUUCAUCUCCGGGGGUAGAGCACUGUUUCGGCAAGGGGGUCAUCCCGACUUACCAACCCGAUGCAAACUGCGAAUACCGGAGAAUGUUAUCACGGGAGACACACGGCGGGUGCUAACGUCCGUCGUGAAGAGGGAAACAACCCAGACCGCCAGCUAAGGUCCCAAAGUCAUGGUUAAGUGGGAAACGAUGUGGGAAGGCCCAGACAGCCAGGAUGUUGGCUUAGAAGCAGCCAUCAUUUAAAGAAAGCGUAAUAGCUCACUGGUCGAGUCGGCCUGCGCGGAAGAUGUAACGGGGCUAAACCAUGCACCGAAGCUGCGGCAGCGACACUAUGUGUUGUUGGGUAGGGGAGCGUUCUGUAAGCCUGUGAAGGUGGCCUGUGAGGGUUGCUGGAGGUAUCAGAAGUGCGAAUGCUGACAUAAGUAACGAUAAAGCGGGUGAAAAGCCCGCUCGCCGGAAGACCAAGGGUUCCUGUCCAACGUUAAUCGGGGCAGGGUGAGUCGACCCCUAAGGCGAGGCCGAAAGGCGUAGUCGAUGGGAAACAGGUUAAUAUUCCUGUACUUGGUGUUACUGCGAAGGGGGGACGGAGAAGGCUAUGUUGGCCGGGCGACGGUUGUCCCGGUUUAAGCGUGUAGGCUGGUUUUCCAGGCAAAUCCGGAAAACCAAGGCUGAGGCGUGAUGACGAGGCACUACGGUGCUGAAGUGACAAAUGCCCUGCUUCCAGGAAAAGCCUCUAAGCAUCAGGUAACAUCAAAUCGUACCCCAAACCGACACAGGUGGUCAGGUAGAGAAUACCAAGGCGCUUGAGAGAACUCGGGUGAAGGAACUAGGCAAAAUGGUGCCGUAACUUCGGGAGAAGGCACGCUGAUAUGUAGGUGAAGCGACUUGCUCGUGGAGCUGAAAUCAGUCGAAGAUACCAGCUGGCUGCAACUGUUUAUUAAAAACACAGCACUGUGCAAACACGAAAGUGGACGUAUACGGUGUGACGCCUGCCCGGUGCCGGAAGGUUAAUUGAUGGGGUUAGCGGUAACGCGAAGCUCUUGAUCGAAGCCCCGGUAAACGGCGGCCGUAACUAUAACGGUCCUAAGGUAGCGAAAUUCCUUGUCGGGUAAGUUCCGACCUGCACGAAUGGCGUAAUGAUGGCCAGGCUGUCUCCACCCGAGACUCAGUGAAAUUGAACUCGCUGUGAAGAUGCAGUGUACCCGCGGCAAGACGGAAAGACCCCGUGAACCUUUACUAUAGCUUGACACUGAACAUUGAGCCUUGAUGUGUAGGAUAGGUGGGAGGCUUUGAAGUGUGGACGCCAGUCUGCAUGGAGCCGACCUUGAAAUACCACCCUUUAAUGUUUGAUGUUCUAACGUUGGCCCGUAAUCCGGGUUGCGGACAGUGUCUGGUGGGUAGUUUGACUGGGGCGGUCUCCUCCUAAAGAGUAACGGAGGAGCACGAAGGUUGGCUAAUCCUGGUCGGACAUCAGGAGGUUAGUGCAAUGGCAUAAGCCAGCUUGACUGCGAGCGUGACGGCGCGAGCAGGUGCGAAAGCAGGUCAUAGUGAUCCGGUGGUUCUGAAUGGAAGGGCCAUCGCUCAACGGAUAAAAGGUACUCCGGGGAUAACAGGCUGAUACCGCCCAAGAGUUCAUAUCGACGGCGGUGUUUGGCACCUCGAUGUCGGCUCAUCACAUCCUGGGGCUGAAGUAGGUCCCAAGGGUAUGGCUGUUCGCCAUUUAAAGUGGUACGCGAGCUGGGUUUAGAACGUCGUGAGACAGUUCGGUCCCUAUCUGCCGUGGGCGCUGGAGAACUGAGGGGGGCUGCUCCUAGUACGAGAGGACCGGAGUGGACGCAUCACUGGUGUUCGGGUUGUCAUGCCAAUGGCACUGCCCGGUAGCUAAAUGCGGAAGAGAUAAGUGCUGAAAGCAUCUAAGCACGAAACUUGCCCCGAGAUGAGUUCUCCCUGACUCCUUGAGGGUCCUGAAGGAACGUUGAAGACGACGACGUUGAUAGGCCGGGUGUGUAAGCGCAGCGAUGCGUUGAGCUAACCGGUACUAAUGAACCGUGAGGCUUAACCUU